GACGAACGCUGGCGGCGUGCUUAACACAUGCAAGUCGAACGGAAAGGCCUCUUUCGGGGGGUACUCGAGUGGCGAACGGGUGAGUAACACGUGAGUAACCUGCCCUUGACUUUGGGAUAACUUCAGGAAACUGGGGCUAAUACCGGAUAGGAGCUCCUGCUGCAUGGUGGGGGUUGGAAAGUUUCGGCGGUUGGGGAUGGACUCGCGGCUUAUCAGCUUGUUGGUGGGGUAGUGGCUUACCAAGGCUUUGACGGGUAGCCGGCCUGAGAGGGUGACCGGCCACCUUGGGACUGAGAUACGGCCCAGACUCCUACGGGUGGCAGCAGUGGGGAAUAUUGCCCAAUGGGUGGAAGCCUGAUGCAGCAACGCCGUGUGCGGGAUGACGGCCUUCGGGUUGUAAACCGCUUUCGCUCAUGACGAAGCUUUGUGUGACGGUAGUGGGUAAAGAAGCACCGGCUAACUACGUG
rnacentral:rRNA from 1 species